rnacentral:rRNA from 1 species
UACGUAGGGGGCAAGCGUUGUCCGGAUUUAUUGGGCGUAAAGAGCGUGUAGGCGGCCAGAUAGGUCCGUUGUGAAAACUCGAGGCUCAACCUCGAGACGCCGAUGGAAACCAUUUGGCUAGAGUCCGGAAGAGGAGAGUGGAAUUCCUGGUGUAGCGGUGAAAUGCGUAGAGAUCCGGAGGAACACCAGAGGCGAAAGCGGCAUCCUGGCUCAGCACUGACGCUCAGACACGACAGCAUGGGGAGCGAACGGG